UACAGAGGGUGCGAGCGUUAAUCGGAAUUACUGGGCGUAAAGCGCGCGUAGGCGGCUUUGCAAGUCGGGUGUGAAAUCCCCAGGCUUAACCUGGGAACUGCAUUCGAGACUGCAUGGCUAGAGUAUGGGAGAGGGAAGUGGAAUUUCAGGUGUAGCGGUGAAAUGCGUAGAUAUCUGAAGGAACAUCAGUGGCGAAAGCGGCAUCCUGGACCGGCAUUGACGCUGAGGCGCGAAAGCCAGGGGAGCAAACGGG
rnacentral:rRNA from 1 species